ACGGGUGAGUAACACGUGGAUAACCUACCUAUAAGAUUGGGAUAACUUCGGGAAACCGGAGCUAAUACCGGAUAAUAUAUUGAACCGCAUGGUUCAAUAGUGAAAGACGGUUUUGCUGUCACUUAUAGAUGGAUCCGCGCCGCAUUAGCUAGUUGGUAAGGUAACGGCUUACCAAGGCAACGAUGCGUAGCCGACCAGAGAGGGUGAUCGGCCACACUGGAACUGAGACACGGUCCAGACUCCUACGGGAGGCAGCAGUAGGGAAUCUUCCGCAAUGGGCGAAAGCCUGACGGAGCAACGCCGCGUGAGUGAUGAAGGUCUUCGGAUCGUAAAACUCUGUUAUUAGGGAAGAACAAAUGUGUAAGUAACUAUGCACGUCUUGACGGUACCUAAUCAGAAAGCCACGGCUAACUACGUGCCAGCAGCCGCGGUAAUACGUAGGUGGCAAGCGUUAUCCGGAAUUAUUGGGCGUAAAGCGCGCGUAGGCGGUUUUUUAAGUCUGAUGUGAAAGCCCACGGCUCAACCGUGGAGGGUCAUUGGAAACUGGAAAACUUGAGUGCAGAAGAGGAAAGUGGAAUU
rnacentral:rRNA from 1 species